AACGAACGCUGGCGGCAGGCCUAACACAUGCAAGUCGAACGAACCUUUCGGGGUUAGUGGCGGACGGGUGAGUAACACGUGGGAACGUGCCUUUAGGUUCGGAAUAACUCAGGGAAACUUGUGCUAAUACCGAAUGUGCCCUUCGGGGGAAAGAUUAAUCGCCUUUAGAGCGGCCCGCGUCUGAUUAGCUAGUUGGUUGAGGUAAUGGCUCACCAAGGCGACGUUCAGUAGCUGGUCUGAGAGGAUGAUCAGCCACAUUGGGACUGAGACACGGCCCAAACUCCUACGGGAGGCAGCAGUGGGGAAUCUUGCACAAUGGGCGAAAGCCUGACGCAGCCAUGCCGCGUGAAUGAUGAAGGUCUUAGGAUUGUAAAAUUCUUUCACCGGGGACGAUAAUGACGGUACCCGGAGAAGAAGCCCCGGCUAACUUCGUG
rnacentral:rRNA from 1 species